rnacentral:miRNA from 8 species
GCUGUGCCUACAUACUGCCAUU